GACGAACGCUGGCGGCGUGCUUAACACAUGCAAGUCGAACGAUGAACCCGGAGCUUGCUCCGGUGGAUUAGUGGCGAACGGGUGAGUAACACGUGAGUAACCUGCCCUUGACUCUGGGAUAACUGCGGGAAACUGUAGCUAAUACCGGAUACGACCCUCGGCGGCAUCGCCAGGGGGUGGAAAGAAUUUCGGUCAAGGAUGGACUCGCGGCCUAUCAGCUAGUUGGUGAGGUAACGGCCCACCAAGGCAACGGCGGGUAGCCGGCCUGAGAGGGGGACAGGCCACACUGGGACUGAGACACGGCGCAGACUCCUACGGGAGGGAGCAGUGGGGAAUAUUGCACAAUGGGCGCAAGCCUGAUGCAGCAGCGCCGCGUGAGGGAUGACGGCCUUCGGGUUGUAAACCUCUUUUAGUAGGGAAGAAGCGAAAGUGACGGUACCUGCAGAAAAAGCACCGGCUAACUACGUGCCAGCCGCCGCCGUAA
rnacentral:rRNA from 1 species